rnacentral:tRNA from 1 species
ACUCUCUUAGUAUAAACAGUACUGUUGACUUCCAAUCAGCUAGAUCCAGCAGACUACCUGGAAGAGAGUA